CUCAAAGUCUCUGGAAACUGCCUUUGAAGAUUCCACAGACACAGGAAAUGGCAUGGCCUUUCUUGCUUUUAGGGCAGACAAACAGAACGCCUACAUUCUUUGAAAAUAAAAGGGAUGCUGGAAACUUGGAUAGUUACACAGAAAAUCUGUAGCCUCUCUGAUUGGAAGUGACUCCUCUGUGUCAAUUUGCUCCUUCAAACCUGACGCAGGGGGAUGUCACACAGAGCUGUAAUGGGAGGAAGUACUGUAGGCACUAGGGUGUUGCUCAGCCUGUGAAAUCUCCUGGGUUGGCUACAGCCACGGAUGAAAAGGAAGAACAUCAAGUGAGCUCUUUCACUCUGAGGUUAAAGAGCAACAAGGACCUGGAAUCACCAUACCUGCAUAUUGAUGACAUACUCCAGCAUUCACUAAACCUUCAACAACCCAGCAGGAGUCUGACAAUGCCUGGUUUCACUGGGACAUGCUGAAAUCAGAAUGGCCUUCUUUGGGCUUGCCUUGGAUUUACACUCUGCUGACUGAUGGAGAAGAGAGCCCGGGCUGGCAGUUCCGGGUCUCAAGUGAUCCAGCUCUAGCCUACAUCUUGCCACUAGGUUUGCAAGUCCCAUAUACUCUGGGAAAGUCUUGAUGUGGUUAGAAGAGAGUCCAAACCUGUGAGCCAUACAGGCUCUUUGCAAAAAUACUGAAGGAGCAAGAGGACACUAAAUCAUGCCAGAUGCUCUCCAGAGAACUAGGGUCAAGACUUCAGUAAGCCAGAUUGUUUUCCAGUUGCUGCUCCAUCUUCUACUGUUUUCUCUAACAUCUGAUAAAUGGGCCCAGCUGGCAGCAGAUGUGAUUUCACUAUGGUAGAGUCACUUUCUCAGAUAAGUACAACACAAAAUCACACUCCUAAACCCUUGUUGUUUUGGAACCACUUUGCAAGAGGUUAUUUUGACUUGCUUUUAAAAUGUGGGAGCUUGUCUGUGCUGGUACUCCUUAUUAUAGUGAAAUAACUAACUAAAGCCACUGAUCAUCUGCUACUGAGUUUAGAUUUUACCAAUGAUUCUCCUUUCCUUGUUCUCAUUAACAAGGUGGUAAUUUAAUAUUAAAUGGUGGAUGAUGAGGAGCAGCAAGAUGAAUAGCUUCCUGUGGCUGUGUGUUUUAUAGACCCUGGUUCUGCCCUUGCUCAGGUUCACCUUCAGCUUCUUCACACAGACAUUGUUCAGUGUUUCCUGUUGCUGAUCCGGAGCUACAUGUGUAGGCUCUGCAGAAGGAUCUGGACAGGCUGCAUCGAUGGGCUGAGGCCAGUGGAGUGAGGUUCAA